rnacentral:rRNA from 1 species
CCUACGGGAGGCAGCAGUGGGGAAUAUUGCACAAUGGGGGAAACCCUGAAGCAGCGACGCCGCGUGAAGGAUGAAGGAUUUCGGGAUGUAAAGCUCUAUUAGUAGAGAAGAAAAUGACGGUACCUGAUGAAUAAGCACCGGCUAACUACGUGCCAGCAGCCGCGGUAAUACGUAGGGUGCAAGCGUUAUACGGAUUUACUGGGUGUAAAGGGAGCGUAGGCGGGAGAACAAGUCAGGAGUGAAAUGCUGGGGCUUAACCCUAGAACUGCAUUUGAAACUGUUCGUCUAGAGUGCAGGAGAGGUAGGUGGAAUUCCUGGUGUAGCGGUAAAAUGCGUAGAUAUUAAGAGGAACACCAAUUGCGAAGGCGGCUUACUAGACUGUAACUGACGUUGAGGCUCGAAAGCGUGGGGAGCAAACAGGAUUAGAUACCCGGGUAGUC